UCCCAGCGUGGGCACCACUUGCCUGAGUGUGGAGGCUGCCAGCAGUCGUACCUCAGGCUGCAGGCCACUCCUCUGCAUGUCCCUUCCUGUGGCUCAGUUAUCAUUUAAAGAUCCUGUCAUUAUGGACCACAGGAGUCCAGAGCGGUAGCCUGGCCAGUUACCUUGACAACCUCAUGCUGUAAACUGCUUCCUGGCUGCGGAUCUAAUGCGAUUCUCGAUACUGUGGGCUCCUCCCGGCCUGGAUGACAGCAGCUGAAGUGAGAGCUUACAGCUCACUUUUAAUGAUCCCCUUCGUGGCAUCUUUAGGGUAUAUUUGCAUUAGCAAUGGAAGGACGUGGACUCUCAUCUCCUAGCAGCAGGCAAGAGGGAGGAUAAUCAAGAAGACCCCACACGUGGUGCCUCUCCAGUAUGGGCAUCGGAGCCAGCGGCACUAAGCCCAACAGACAGAGCUAGAGAAGCCGAAGCUACAACCUCCUCCUGCAGGAUUUCUGUGAGCUGAAAUUGUGGAAGAUGGCUGUUAAGAUGCUUCCCAGUGAUUUCCACCUUCUGGUAUUCAUGCCCUGAGCGCUUUCCUCCUACAAGUCACUCAGUGACAUGGCCAGAUGCCAUGUCAUGAAAACCCUUUGGUGUUCUGUGAAGAAGCUCACGUGAAGAGCAGCUGAGGUCUCCUGUCAACAGCCAUGCGAGUGAGCCAUCUUGGAAGCGGAUCUGCCUGCCCCAGCCUUCUGAUGACUGCAGCCCACUGGCUACAGCUUCUCUGCAAUGCCAUGAGAGGCUCUCAGCCAGAAUCUCCCAGCUAAGCCACUCUUGGUUUCCCCACCCUCAGAGAAUGUGAGAUAAAUGUUUGCUUUUUUAAGCAUCCUGUUUCCGAGUAGUGUAGCAACAAGUAUCUGAUGCAGGAGCCUAUCCAUAACCAAUGACUGAGAAAGGCUAUCAAAUGUCACUUCCUGAAUGGAGCCAGUGAGUCAAGUGCUAGACUAUUCAUUACUUAGUCAUGGAUUUGGAUUUGAUUGUAUGCUGUAAAAAAAAAAGCUAUUUAUUGGUCUUGCUUCUUAGCAUCAGCUAAUUAGUGACAUUCACUCCAUUUUGAUGUAUUGCUUAAAAUAUACAUAUCUAUAUAUAAAUAUACAAGAGCAGAUUCAACA